CACGUGACGCUACGUCUGUCAACAUGAGUGGGCACCGGACUCUGUGUGGGGGUUCGGGAAGCUGCGGGAUGGAAGCGAGUCAUGACCUGCAAUUUUUCCAUCUCGGCCGCCGUUUUAAAAAGCUGCAAAACGAGCGGCUUUGCCGGCGUUCAAACUGGGAACGAAUUCCCUUUCCGACGACUAGAUAGAGGAGUUGUUCUGUUCGCUUAGCCGCACUGACUAGUUAGCUUCUAAGCUAAGUACGUAAUGGUCGUGCCUUGUGUCCGCUUUUUGUCGCUUAUUUUAUGCGUACUGAUACAAAAUGCUUAUUAUACGAUAUUAAAUCGGCGUAGUGUUAUGAAUUUGCGCAGUUAACGCACGUUACACCCGGGGACUUGGAAGGAAUUGCAGUAAAUAUUGACAGUCACAGCACCGACCUGAAGUUAUGGUUGACGUUACAGUCCGUCGUUUAUUUACAAUAAGUUACUGACUUGAAGUCUACUUUAAGUACGUCUGAGGCGGGAAGAAUGAGACGUCGCCAUCGCUCACACAAGACCGUCCUACUUAUUGCAUCGAUUAGCUGACCAACAUCUGCUGAUACCGAUUUUUUGUUGUUGUUUCCUGUCGUGAAUCUUUUUAUAUUCACGCAUCCAUGACUGGAGGGCUCUACACGCUGUCCCAGCAGGGGGACGUGGCAGGACCGUCCCUCGGCAACACGACCCCCACCCCUGGCCCUGAUAACCGGGGUUGUGAGAAUGGUGCCCUAAUGGACUCAUUUGGGAUCUUCCUUCAAGGACUCCUGGCUGUAAUGGCUUUCAGCAUUCUCAUGUUAAAACGCCUCAGGGAGCCCAAACAUGAGCGGAGACCCUGGAAAAUCUGGUUCCUGGAUACUUCCAAGCAGGCUAUUGGGAUGCUUUUCAUCCACUUUGCUAAUGUUUACCUUUCAGACCUUACAGAGGAGGAUCCCUGCUCGCUAUACCUCAUUAACUUCCUAUUAGAUGCCUCAUUGGGAAUGUUGUUGAUCUACUCUGGCAUACGAGCUGUCAGUGCGGUUGUCGAGUGGAGGCAGUGGGAGUCUCUCCGCUUUGGAGAAUAUGGAGAGCCCAUACAAUGCACAGCAUGGUUGGGUCAGUGUAUCCUCUACAUCCUUAUCAUGAUGUUUGAGAAAGUCCUCAUCAUGCUGGUCCUCCUCAUCCCCCAGUGGAAGAAGCUUGCUCUUCUCAACCCCAUUGAGAAUCCUGACCUGGAACUGGCCAUCGUCAUGCUCAUCGUUCCUUUCUUUGUGAACGCCCUCAUGUUUUGGGUAGUAGACAAUUUCCUAAUGAAGAAGCACAGGACCAAAGCAAAGCUUGAGGAGAGGGAAGAGGACUCUCGGGGGAACAGCAAGGUGCGCUACAGACGAGCAUUGUCUCACGAUGACUCAGAGUCAGAGAUCCUUUUCUCAGCAGAUGAUGAAAUGGACGAGUCCGACGAAGAGGAUGUUCGCCGCCUGGCAGGUCUAAAGACGGUCAAGAAAAAGAAGCUGCGAAUGGGCAUCCCUGUUUGACCGAGGGUCUCGGAAAACAACCACGUCGGAAGCAAACGUAAAAGCCGCCACACUUCCUUAUCUACAGACAAACAUGGGGAUGGAUCCCUUUAAUGGCGCUAAGGACUUGGGUUUUUUCUUUUCUUUCAGCCAGCCAAUGACACUCCUGGAUGACUAUUUAUUGUGUUUUGAAGACACUAACGAGCAUCACGUUGUUAAAGCGUAGGCCUACUCUGCAUAAUAGGAAAAUAUGCAACAUUUACUUUACUUACUGCAGUGUACGGACGUUUGUGCUUGAGGGAUCAUCUUCGUUUUGGCUAUAUUUUUUAUAUAAAUGCCAUUUUCUCAUGUAGACCACCAAGACCUGCGUGUGCUUGUCUGCGUGCGUGUGUAUGGUGUGCUUGCGUGAAGCCCUUGAUAACUACUGUAAUUGUUGUGUUUGCAUCAGAAUCCUUUCAAGUCCAGUCACUGCAAAAUCCCAGACAAUUUUCAAUCCACUAGUGUUUUGUCUUUAAAUUGUGUCACUAUUUUUUCAUUUUUUUUCAUACAUGCAGCUUUUAUUUUUGGGCCAAAAUGUUGACUAUGCUGGCUCCAAAAGUGUUCUCCCAAAAAGAUGAGCAAAUAUGGGAACCCUCUCUUGCACAAUUUACCACAUUUGCUUUUUUUUUUUCCUUUGUGUUUCUUUAGCACAGUGACAGUGUGCCUGAGCAACAUUACCAGCAGAUGUUAAUUUGUUGUUGACUUGUGUUUUUAUUGUUUUAUCAGGGCUCCAGGUGCAUUCAGCAGGCUGUGAUUUCAAGAAUGGGAUGUGCAUAGACCGUUAUACUGUUAAGUGACUGUGGACCAAGCAGUUAAUGAGAGAAAUGGUGUUAGAGUAAAUAUACGCCUGUUUACGUUGGUGUGUGUGCAGAGUUGACUGAUGGACCCUUUGAAGAAAAUGGACUGCGACAUUAACUGUGACUGUGCCGCUGUGGAUGAUUUCACGGUGGCAUUAAAAUGAUAUUUUAUUGGGAAAAAAGCUCUACCGCAAAUGCAGACAUCCGCCAACCUGGUUUUAAAGAAAAUGUUUCUGGAAGCAAGAGCAGUGUUCUAUUGAAGACAAUACAACAGCAAACUGAAAAAUGAUCUCUCGGACAAAGCACUCAGCUCGAAAAAACGCAGAUGAAAAGGCCAACGUCUUCUGCCAAACCUUUGUGGACAAGUGCACAUAGCCUGGGGCAUCAGAACAACCUCAGCUCCACAGCCCACCACCAUCCUCUCACUUUGGAGAUGUCCACUUUAAACCCAAAGAGGUGAGUAACAUCCUACCCAACCUAAACCCAAGUAGUGUCCUCAAAGAGUCCGCCGCUGGCUCGGUUCAUAGAGCUGCCAUGCCAGCAACUUGAAGGUUCCUGGUUCAAUCCCCAGCUUCCGCCAUCCUAGUCACGUCUGCUGUGUCUUUGAGUAAGACACUUCUUCACCCUUGCUCCUGAUGAGUUUUAGUUAAGGUCUUGCAUGGCAGCUCCUGCCAUUAGUGUGUGGAAAUAGUGUCAGAGCGCUUUGGGUACCUUG